rnacentral:rRNA from 1 species
AAACAUCUUCUCUUGUCUAUAUAUGAGAUAUGACCUGCCCUAUGAAUAAUUAAAUGGCCGCGGUACUUUGACCGUGCAAAGGUAGCAUAAUCAUUAGUUCAUUAAUUGUGGACUUGUAUGAAUGGUUUGACGAAACAUUAACUGUCUCAUUAUUAUUAUUAGAAUUUAAUAUUUGAGUGAAAAAGCUUAAAUUAUAUUAUAGGACGAGAAGACCCUAUAGAUUUUUAUUAUUAUUUAUUUUAUUUAUUUUAGGUUAUUUAUUAAUAAUUUACUUAAUUAUUUUGUUGGGGUGACAAGAAGAUUAAAUUAACUCUUCUUAUUUUAUACAUUUAUUUAUGAGUAUAGGAUCUUUUAUUAAUGAUUUAAGACAUAAAUACCUUAGGGAUAACAGCGUAAUUUUCUUUUAGAGUUCAUAUCGACAAGAAAGAUUGCGACCUCGAUGUUGGAUUAAGAUUAUUAUUAGGUGUAGAAGUUUAUAUAAUAGGUCUGUUCGACUUUUAAAUUCUUACAUGAUCUGAG